rnacentral:rRNA from 1 species
UACGUAGGGGGCAAGCGUUGUCCGGAUUUACUGGGCGUAAAGAGCGUGUAGGCGGCCACGCAGGUCCGUUGUGAAAACUGGAGGCUCAACUUCCAGCCGUCGACGGAAACCGUGUGGCUAGAGUCCGGAAGAGGAGAGUGGAAUUCCUGGUGUAGCGGUGGAAUGCGCAGAUAUCAGGAGGAACACCAACGGCGAAGGCAGCUCGCUAGGACGGUACUGACGCUAAGGCGCGAAAGCGUGGGGAGCGAACAGG